rnacentral:rRNA from 1 species
GACGAACGCUGGCGGCGUGCUUAACGCAUGCAAGUCGAGCGGUAAGGCCCUUUCGGGGGUACACGAGCGGCGAACGGGUGAGUAACACGUGGGUGACCUGCCCUCAGCUCUGGGAUAAGCCUGGGAAACCGGGUCUAAUACUGGAUAUGACUCCAUGACGCAUGUUGUGGGGUGGAAAGCCUUGUGCGGCUGAGGAUGGGCCCGCGGCCUAUCAGCUUGUUGGUGGGGUGAUGGCCUACCAAGGCGACGACGGGUAGCCGGCCUGAGAGGGCGACCGGCCACACUGGGACUGAGACACGGCCCAGACUCCUACGGGAGGCAGCAGUGGGGAAUCUUGCGCAAUGGGCGAAAGCCUGACGCAGCGACGCCGCGUGAGGGAUGACGGCCUC